GACGAACGCUGGCGGCGUGCUUAACACAUGCAAGUCGAACGGAAAGGCCCUGCUUUUGUGGGGUGCUCGAGUGGCGAACGGGUGAGUAACACGGGAGUAACCUGCCCUUGACUUUGGGAUAACUUCAGGAAACUGGGGCUAAUACCGGAUAGGAGCUCCGGCUGCAUGGUGGGGGUUGGAAAGUUUCGGCGGUUGGGGAUGGACUCGCGGCUUAUCAGCUUGUUGGUGGGGUAGUGGCUUACCAAGGCUUUGACGGGUAGCCGGCCUGAGAGGGUGACCGGCCACAUUGGGACUGAGAUACGGCACAGACUCCUACGGGAGGCAGCAGUGGGGAAUAUUGCACAAUGGGCGGAAGCCUGAUGCAGCAACGCCGCGUGCGGGAUGACGGCCUUCGGGUUGUAAACCGCUUUCGCAUGUGACGAAGCGUGAGUGACGGUAAUGGGUAAAGAAGCACCGGCUAACUACGUG
rnacentral:rRNA from 1 species